ensembl:lncRNA
AUAUCCCUGACAUCACAUCUGCAAAUCUGUCUGUUUUCUGUGAGAAAAUUUAAGAACCAAAGGUGAGGAAACCAAGACAUAAAAUAGUUAAGACCCGAAGUCAAACGUUAACCCUGAAACAAUCUUCAAAGCCUGCUGAGAACAAAAGAUUGCAUACUCUGUCCUCAGCUUUACUUGCUUGACCUGCUUUCCAACCUGGACUGAAGCCACAGAGCUCAAGAAGUU